rnacentral:rRNA from 1 species
GACUACAUGAAGCUGGAAUCGCUAGUAAUCGCGAAUCAGAAUGUCGCGGUGAAUACGUUCCCGGGUCUUGUACACACCGCCCGUCACACCAUGGGAGUCGGAAAUGCCCGAAGUCAGUGACCUAACCGAAAGGGAGGAGCUGCCGAAGGUGGAGCCGGUAACUGGGGUGAAGUCGUAACAAGGUAGC